AGUGAACGCUGGCGGUAGGCCUAACACAUGCAAGUCGAACGGCAGCACAGUAAGAGCUUGCUCUUACGGGUGGCGAGUGGCGGACGGGUGAGGAAUACAUCGGAAUCUACUUUUUCGUGGGGGAUAACGUAGGGAAACUUACGCUAAUACCGCAUACGACCUACGGGUGAAAGCAGGGGAUCUUCGGACCUUGCGCGAUUGAAUGAGCCGAUGUCGGAUUAGCUAGUUGGCGGGGUAAAGGCCCACCAAGGCGACGAUCCGUAGCUGGUCUGAGAGGAUGAACAGCCACAAUGGAACUGAGACACGGUCCAGACUCCUAAGGGAGGCAGCAGUGGGGAAUAUUGGACAAUGGGCGCAAGCCUGAUCCAGCCAUACCGCGUGGGCGAAGAAGGCCUUCGGGUUGUAAAGCCCUUUUGUUGGGAAAGAAAAGCAGCAGGUUAAUACCCCGCUGUUCUGACGGUACCCAAAGAAUAAGCACCGGCUAACUUCGUG
rnacentral:rRNA from 1 species